rnacentral:rRNA from 1 species
GACAAAACAGUAAGGUAUAUAAAUUCAUUUUUAUUUAAAAUUUUAAAAACAUUUUAUAAUUUAGUAAAGGCGAUUAAAAGUUAUUUUAUGAUACCUUAAAAAAGUACUGUGAAGGAAUAAUUCUGUUAAUUAUACAAUAGAAAAAAUUAAAAUUUGUACCUUUUGCAUCAUGGUUUAACUAGAUAUUUAUUUUACAUUUAAAUUCCUCGAAAUCUAAUGAGCUAUUCUUAUUCUGUAUUUUAGUAAAUUAAGGGUUGAUUGUAGCAAAAAUUUCCCUAGAAAUAAGGAUAGAAAUGAAAUUUUAUUCGUAUUAGAUGAUAGCUAGUUCUUCUUUAAAGGUAUAUAAGUACUUUAAAUUGAUUUAAUUUAUACAAUAACUAAAGUAUAAUAAACUUCAAUUUAGUCAAAUUUUUGAGGAUAACCUCGAAAAUUUCAGAACCAUAUUUAUAUUUAAUUUUUAAUUAAAUUUAGGCCUAAAAAUAGCCAAAAUAUUGAUUUUGUUAUAAUCUCAUUGAACAUUAAAAAAAAUAAUAAAUUUAUUUUAAUUAAAAAGAAGAAAACUUUGAAAUUAAAGAAAGUUAUAUACAUGUUAAAAUUAGUAUUAAAUAGCCUAUAAAAUCUUAAUAAAGUAUAAAAUAAAAUUUAACAUUAUAGUACCACCUAAAAAUCAUAAAAAGGAACUCGGCAAAUCCAUAUUCUGCCUGUUUAGCAAAAACAUCGCUCCCUGCUUGUAGCAUAUAGGGAGUCGGACCUGCCCAGUGAAUUAUUUUAACGGCCGCGGUACUCUGACCGUGCAAAGGUAGCAUAAUAAUUUGCCUUAUAAUUGAAGGCUAGUAUGAAUGGUUUGACAAGAAUAUAACUGUCUCUUUUUGAUUUAAUAGAAUUUUAUCUAAGGGUGAAAAAGCCCACAUUAAAUUAAAAGACAAGAAGACCCUGUCGAGCUUUAGAAGAAACAAUAAAAUUUAAAUUUAUAGGAUUAAAAAACUAAUUAUUGUUAAACUUUAGUUGGGGCGACAGAAGAACAAAUAAAGCUUCUUUUAAACUUAUUUUAACGUAGCAAGUACUUGAUCCAAAAAUUUUUGAUUAAAGGAAUUAGUUACCGCAGGGAUAACAGCAUUAUCUUUUUUAAGAGCUCUUAUCGAAAAAAAGGUUUGUGACCUCGAUGUUGGACCAGAAUAUCCCAAAGAUGCAGCAGUCUUUAAAGGUUGGUCUGUUCGACCAUUAAAAUUCUACGUGAUCUGAGUUCAGACCGGCGUGAGCCAGGUCAGUUUCUAUCUUUAAUUCUUUUAAUGGGCUUAGUACGAAAGGACCAGCCCAUUGUAAUAGUAUACUAUAUGUGAUGAAAUAUAAUUUAUAAUUUAAUA